AGACUUGUGCCUAGAUACUUUCCUAAGGAGUCUUGAUGACGGAGGAGUAACUUCAGAUGAUGGUACACAUGACAGUCAUGAGACUGAAGAGAGUAUAGAUGAUGUUCAGACUGAGCCACAUACUGAACCACCUGUAUAGAAAGUCUGGAGAUCCAUAAGAGAAUGGAGGCCAUCUAUGAGAUACCUAUUGCAAGAUUACGUACUAUUGAC
rnacentral:lncRNA from 1 species